rnacentral:miRNA from 1 species
UAUGUCAGAUAAUUAUAGGUGC